rnacentral:rRNA from 2 species
GGUCAAGUGACUAAGCGUACACGGUGGAUGCCUUGGCAGUCAGAGGCGAUGAAGGACGUGGUAAUCUGCGAUAAGUCUUGGGGAGCUGAUAAACAAGCUGUGAUCCAGGAAUUUCCGAAUGGGGAAACCCAACGGCAUAAGCCGUUAUUCCUUACCUGAAUACAUAGGGUCUGGAAGGCGAACCCGGGGAACUGAAACAUCUAAGUACCCGGAGGAAAAGAAAUCAAUUGAGAUUCCCCCAGUAGCGGCGAGCGAACGGGGACCAGCCCUUAAGCAAUUUAUGAGUUAGUGGAACACUCUGGAAAGUGUGGCCAUAGUGGGUGAUAGCCCCGUACACGAAAGCUCAUUUAUUGUGAAAUCGAGUAGGACGGGACACGUGAAAUCCUGUCUGAACAUGGGGGGACCAUCCUCCAAGGCUAAAUACUCCUGACUGACCGAUAGUGAACCAGUACCGUGAGGGAAAGGCGAAAAGAACCCCGUUGAGGGGAGUGAAAUAGAACCUGAAUCCGUGUACGUACAAGCAGUGGGAGCCUACUUACUCUUUUUUAAGGGCAGAGGGGUGACUGCGUACCUUUUGUAUAAUGGGUCAGCGACUUACUUUCAGUGGCAAGGUUAACCGCAUAGGGGAGCCGUAGGGAAACCGAGUCUUAAUAGGGCGUGUUCUUAGGAACAACAGUCGCUGGGAGUAGACCCGAAACCGGGCGAUCUAUCCAUGGGCAGGUUGAAGGUUGAGUAACAUCAACUGGAGGACCGAACCGACUAUCGUUGAAAAGCUAGCGGAUGACCUGUGGAUAGGAGUGAAAGGCUAAUCAAGCCCGGAGAUAGCUGGUUCUCCUCGAAAGCUAUUUAGGUAGCGCCUCGUGUCUCACCAUCGGGGGUAGAGCACUGUUUGGGCUAGGGGGUCAUCCCGACUUACCAACCCCAUGCAAACUCCGAAUACCGAUGAGUGCAAUCACGGGAGACACACGGCGGGUGCUAACGUCCGUCGUGGAAAGGGAAACAACCCAGACCGUCAGCUAAGGUCCCAAAGUAACAGUUAAGUGGGAAACGAUGUGAGAAGGCCCAGACAGCCAGGAGGUUGGCUUAGAAGCAGCCACCCUUUAAAGAAAGCGUAAUAGCUCACUGGUCGAGUCGGCUCGCGCGGAAGAUUUAACGGGGCUCAAACUGUUCACCGAAGCUACGGGUCUAGAGACUAGUUUCUAGAAACAUGUAUCAAGAUUAGUUAUAUGCCAUAUCGCAAUCUAAGUGUUUAUCAAAAAGCGUAUCAAUUGGCGCUGGAAAUUCAUCGUUUAAGUCUUGGUUUUCCAAGGAUUGAGCAGUUUGAAUUAGCAAGCCAAUUAAGACGAGCCAGCAAAUCCAUUGUAGCCAAUAUAGUUGAAGGAAUGGGUAAGCAGGAAAGUCCCGCUGAAGUUAAGCGCUAUUUGCGAAUAGCCAUGGGUUCGUGUGAUGAAGUUCGGGUUUGGUUAGAGUUUUCCAAAGAUCUGGAAUACAUCAGCCAAGCGAACUAUGGGCAUUAUGAUUUCAGAUACCAGGAAGUCGGAAAAAUGCUUAGAGGCAUCAUCAAACGUAACACAAAUUCUUGAUACUAGUAUCUAGAAACUAGUUUCUAGGCGGUAGAGGAGCGUUCUGUAAGCCGUUGAAGGUGCAUCGGGAGGUGUGCUGGAGGUAUCAGAAGUGCGAAUGCUGACAUGAGUAACGACAAGGGGAGUGAGAAGCUCCCCCGCCGGAAGACCAAGGGUUCCUGCGCAACGCUAAUCGGCGCAGGGUGAGUCGGCCCCUAAGGUGAGGUCGAAAGACGUAAUCGAUGGGAAACAGGUCAAUAUUCCUGUACCCCUUUUGACUGCGAUGGAGUGACGGAGAAGGCUAGGUCAGCGCAGCGUUGGUUGUCUGCGUUUAAGAUCGUAGGCCGGGGAUCCAGGCAAAUCCGGAUCCUCAAGGCCGAGAAUUGAUGACGAGGUUCUACGGAACUGAAGUGAUUGAUGCCAUGCUUCCAGGAAAAACUUCUAAGCUUCAGGUCAUAAGGGACCGUACCCCAAACCGACACAGGUGGUCAGGUAGAGAAUACCAAGGCGCUUGAGAGAACUCGGGUGAAGGAACUAGGCAAAAUGGCACCGUAACUUCGGGAGAAGGUGCGCCAGCUUUGGUGAUCGGACUUGCUCCGUAAGCUGAGGCUGGUCGAAGAUACCAGGUGGCUGCGACUGUUUAUUAAAAACACAGCACUGUGCAAACACGAAAGUGGACGUAUACGGUGUGACGCCUGCCCGGUGCCGGAAGGUUAAUUGAUGGGGUUAUCUCACCUCCAGAUUGCUUUUGCUGCAAGGCAAAUGAUGGAGCGAGCGAAGGAGUUUACAAAAGAGUAAAUGACUGAGCGAGCGGAAUCAUUUAACGCAGUCAGCAAGAGCAAUGUGGUGGUGAGAGAAGCUCUUGAUCGAAGCCCCGGUAAACGGCGGCCGUAACUAUAACGGUCCUAAGGUAGCGAAAUUCCUUGUCGGGUAAGUUCCGACCUGCACGAAUGGCGUAACGAUGGCCACGCUGUCUCCACCCGAGACUCAGUGAAAUUGAAAUCGCUGUUAAGAUGCAGCGUAUCCGCGGCUAGACGGAAAGACCCCGUGAACCUUUACUACAGCUUCACAGUGGAUCUUGAUGUUGCUUGUGUAGGAUAGGUGGGAGGCUUUGAAGCGGUGACGCCAGUCAUCGUGGAGCCAUCCUUGAAAUACCACCCUGGCAAUAUUGAGGUUCUAACCCGGGUCCCGAAACGGGAUCGGGGACAUUGUGUGGUGGGUAGUUUGACUGGGGCGGUCUCCUCCCAAAGAGUAACGGAGGAGCACGAAGGUGUGCUAAGUACGGUCGGACAUCGUACGGUUAGUGUAAAGGCACAAGCACGCUUGACUGCGAGAGGUACAUCUCGAGCAGGUACGAAAGUAGGUCUUAGUGAUCCGGUGGUUCUGCAUGGAAGGGCCAUCGCUCAACGGAUAAAAGGUACUCCGGGGAUAACAGGCUGAUACCGCCCAAGAGUUCACAUCGACGGCGGUGUUUGGCACCUCGAUGUCGGCUCAUCACAUCCUGGGGCUGAAGCCGGUCCCAAGGGUAUGGCUGUUCGCCAUUUAAAGUGGUACGCGAGCUGGGUUUAGAACGUCGUGAGACAGUUCGGUCCCUAUCUGCCGUGGACGUUGGAAGUUUGAGAAGAGCUGCUCCUAGUACGAGAGGACCGGAGUGGACGGACCACUGGUGUUCGGGUUGUGUCGCCAGACGCAUUGCCCGGUAGCUAUGUUCGGACGGGAUAACCGCUGAAAGCAUCUAAGCGGGAAGCCCCCUUCAAGAUGAGACUUCCCUUGCCCCUGAGGGCACUAAAGAGCCGUUAAAGACUAUGACGUUGAUAGGUUGGGUGUGUAAGUGCUGUGAGGCAUUGAGCUAACCAAUACUAAUGACUCGUGCGGCUUGACCAU